UCUCUCUCGUCCCCCCUCUCAUCUCUCUCUUCCCUCUCAUCUCACCCGAACCCUAAGCCUAACCCACAAAUGCUCCCUCUCAUCUCUCCUUUCUCAUCUCUUCUCCGAAACACUCUUCUUCUUCUUUGUCUUCUUCGUCUUCUUCUUCUUCUUCUUCUCUUCCUUCUCCAUCCCUAAAAAUCAUCUUCACCAACAUUUCUUCUUCUUCUUCUAGAAAUCGUGUUCUCCAUCGAUCUGUCUCCUAAACCCACGAAACGAAGCCUAACCCAAAUCUGAUCUCUCUUCGUCUUCUCCAUCGAUCUGUCUCCAUCAACCCACGAAACGAACUCGUACCCAGAUCUGGUCUUUCUCUUCGUCUUCCCCAUUGCAUCGUGCAAGUCUCCUUACGUCUAGAUCUACGGCCACGUCACGGGCAGUGCAGGGCAGGCCAGGGCAUUUAUACCUGUAUACCCAUGUAUACGCCAAAUUUUUUUAUAUACAGUAUUUGCAUACAUUGUAUGAAUUAUUAUUAUCUACAUUAUUUGCAUAAAUUGUUCUGCUAGCAUGCCAGUUUACUGCCUUUUGGUUUCUUUCCUAAAUAAAUGGAGAUAUUUGAAGUGUUGAUUACUUGAUUUGGAGAUUUUGUGGAAUUUGGAUUCGGUUUAUUUAUUUAUUUUGUUUCAUGAAUCUUUUGGUUGUGGAUUCAUCAAAGUACCUUACAAUCUGUUUCUGGGCUUAACCAACUGCAUUAGAUUUCUUUAGUUUUUAUUAGAUGCAUAUAUUAUAGGGAAAAUGAGAAAAAAUACAAUGUCAGAACUUAGGGAUUGUAACUUAGGGAUUGUAACUUAGGGGGGUUAACUGAAUGACAUUGCAUGUUGCAUUCUAUUUUAUCUCCUAGGGCAGGGCAAUUAAAGUAAUUAAUUCAAACCAAAAUGCUAUUUAAUUUUAUUCCAUCAUUAUUCAACUGUUAUUCAAUUAUUUUAUGGGGGUUCAUCUUAGAAUGUCAUCAUCACCUUCAUCAAUAUCUUCUUCAUCUUUUUCCAAACGUACUUUGGGUCAAACAUUGUGCUUCUGCGAGCUUGAAGCCACUUUGAAAUGGUCAACCACUGAAAAAAAUCUCAGACGACCUUUCUUAGGGUGUUCAAAAUACAAUACCCAGGUAACUACACUAAUCAGAUGCCUAACAGAAUUUCACAAUAUAUAAUUUCCUUUAUAAUGAACAGUUCAUCAGCACCUCAUAUUUUUUUUUACUUAUUAGGACUUACCAUAUUGUAAGUUUUUCAAGUGGUUGGAUGGUAAUGAAGUGACUGAGCUACAAGUUCGAGAAAGGGCCAACGGGCUGUUAAAGAAAGAGAAAGAGGUUGAGAAAAUACUUGAGCUUCUCGAAAAGAGAGAGAUGGAGCUACGUAAGAUAGUGGAUCGCCUCGAGAGGGUGGAGAUUUUUCUAUCCAAUAAUCGCGAUGAGGUUAUGCAAAGGGAGUUGGUGCAUGCUGCAGAAGAAGCUAAAAUAAGGCGUUUAGCUUCCCUACUUCGGAUUUAUUGCUUUUUUGCCUUUGUACAUGCAUGUUACCUAGUGUUAUAUAAGUAAUUUAGCUUUCAUCUUUCUAGUUCUCUGUUUAGGUAUUGGAGUUGUACAUGUGUAUUAUUUUGUUGUUUAGGUGUAUUUAUUUUAUGGAAUUGGACUGGUAUUUAGCAGCUUGUCUCAGAUUUUGGUAUUGGAGAAUUAGCAAAUGUUGUAUUUAGUGUU